CAAAUACUCCCUCCGUCCGGAAAUACUUGUCGAAGGAAUGGAUGUAUCUAGUCGUAUUUUAGUUUUAGAUGCAUCCACUUUUAUUCAUUUCUGCGACAAGUAUUUCUGGACGGAGGGAGUAUAAU
rnacentral:pre_miRNA from 1 species